CGCCUGUUUAACAAAAACAUGUCUUUUUGAUUAUAAUUUAAAGUCUAACCUGCCCAAUGAGGAGUUAAAUGGCCGCGGUAAUUUGACCGUGCAAAGGUAGCAUAAUCAUUAGUUUUUUAAUUGAAAGCUGGUAUGAAUGGUUGGACGAGAAAGUAUCUGUCUCAAUUUAAUUUAAUUAGAAUUUUAUUUUUAAGUAAGAAAGCUUAAAUGAAUUUAAAAGACGAGAAGACCCUAUAGAGUUUUAUAUUUAUUAUAGUAGAUAUUAUAUAGUAUAUAUUAGGUAUGUAUUAUAGUAUGUAUUUUGUUGGGGUGACAGAAAAAUUGAAUUAACUUUUUUUAUAUUAUAACAUUAAUUUAUGGGUAAGUGAUCCGUUAAAGAACGAUUAUAAGAUUAAAUUACCUUAGGGAUAACAGCGUAAUUUUUUUUGAGAGUUCAAAUCGAAAAAAGAGUUUGCGACCUCGAUGUUGGAUUAAAGUUUACUUCUGGUGUAGGAGCUAAAGAGUUAGGUCUGUUCGACCUUUAAAAUUUUACAAGAUCUGAGUUCAAACCGGAG
rnacentral:rRNA from 1 species